rnacentral:rRNA from 1 species
CGCUGGCGGCGUGCUUAACACAUGCAAGUCGAGCGGAAAGGCUCCUUCGGGGGUACUCGAGCGGCGAACGGGUGAGUAACACGUGAGUAAUCUGCCCUUGGCUUUGGGAUAAGCCCCGGAAACGGGGUCUAAUACCGGAUACGACGCACUCUCGCAUGGGAUGUGUGUGGAAAGUUUUUUCGGCCAGGGAUGUGCUCGCGGCCUAUCAGCUUGUUGGUGGGGUAAUGGCCUACCAAGGCUUCGACGGGUAGCCGGCCUGAGAGGGUGACCGGCCACACUGGGACUGAGACACGGCCCAGACUCCUACGGGAGGCAGCAGUGGGGAAUAUUGGACAAUGGGCGGAAGCCUGAUCCAGCAACGCCGCGUGAGGGAUGACGGCCUUCGGGUUGUAAACCUCUUUCAGUACCGACGAAGCGCCGAUGAUGGUGGUGACGGUAGGUACAGAAGAAGCACCGGCCAACUACGUG